UCGAACGAUGAUGCCCAGCUUGCUGGGUGGAUUAGUGGCGAACGGGUGAGUAACACGUGAGUAACCUGCCCCUGACUUCGGGAUAACUCCGAGAAAUCGGUGCUAAUACCGGAUAUUUACGCGUGCCCGCAUGGGUGUGUGUGGAAAGAUUUAUCGGUGAGGGAUGGACUCGCGGCCUAUCAGCUUGUUGGUGGGGUAAUGGCCUACCAAGGCGACGACGGGUAGCCGGCCUGAGAGGGUGACCGGCCACACUGGGAGUGAGACACGGCCCAGACUCUUACGGGAGGCAGCAGUGGGGAAUAUUGCACAAUGGGCGCAAGCCUGAUGCAGCGACGCCGCGUGAGGGAUGACGGCCUUCGGGUUGUAAACCUCUUUCAGUAGGGAAGAAGCCUUCGGGUGACGGUACCUGCAGAAGAAGCGCCGGCUAACUACGUGCCAGCAGCCGCGGUAAUACGUAGGGCGCAAGCGUUGUCCGGAAUUAUUGGGCGUAAAGAGCUCGUAGGCGGUUUGUCGCGUCUGCUGUGAAAACGCAAGGCUUAACCUUGCGCCUGCAGUGGGUACGGGCAGACUAGAGUGCGGUAGGGGAGACUGGAAUUCCUGGUGUAGCGGUGGAAUGCGCAGAUAUCAGGAGGAACACCGAUGGCGAAGGCAGGUCUCUGGGCGUUACUGACGCUGAGGAGCGAAAGCAUGGGGAGCGAACAGGAUUAGAUACCCUGGUAGUCCAUGCCGUAAACGUUGGGCACUAGGUGUGGGAUCCAUUCCACGGGUUCCGUGCCGCAGCUAACGCAUUAAGUGCCCCGCCUGGGGAGUACGGCCGCAAGGCUAAAACUCAAAGGAAUUGACGGGGGCCCGCACAAGCGGCGGAGCAUGCGGAUUAAUUCGAUGCAACGCGAAGAACCUUACCAAGGCUUGACAUACACCGGAAAAGUGCAGAGAUGUGCUCCCCGUAAGGUCGGUGUACAGGUGGUGCAUGGUUGUCGUCAGCUCGUGUCGUGAGAUGUUGGGUUAAGUCCCGCAACGAGCGCAACCCUUGUCCUGUGUUGCCAGCACGUAAUGGUGGGGACUCAUAGGAGACUGCCGGGGUCAACUCGGAGGAAGGUGGGGAUGACGUCAAAUCAUCAUGCCCCUUAUGUCUUGGGCUUCACGCAUGCUACAAUGGCCGGUACAAAGGGCUGCGAUACCGCGAGGUGGAGCGAAUCCCAAAAAGCCGGUCUCAGUUCGGAUUGGGGUCUGCAACUCGACCCCAUGAAGUCGGAGUCGCUAGUAAUCGCAGAUCAGCAACGCUGCGGUGAAUACGUUCUCGGGCCUUGUACACACCGCCCGUCACGUCAUGAAAGUCGGUAACACCCGAAGCCGGUGGCCCAACCC
rnacentral:rRNA from 1 species